rnacentral:rRNA from 1 species
CCUACGGGAGGCAGCAGUGAGGAAUAUUGGUCAAUGGACGAGAGUCUGAACCAGCCAAGUAGCGUGAAGGAUGACUGCCCUAUGGGUUGUAAACUUCUUUUAUAUGGGAAUAAAAUGUUCCACGUGUGGGAUUUUGUAUGUACCAUAUGAAUAAGGAUCGGCUAACUCCGUGCCAGCAGCCGCGGUACUACGGAGGAUCCGCGCUUUAUCCGGAUUUAUUUGGUGUAAAGGGAGCGUAGGUGGAUUGUUAAGUCAGUUGUGAAAGUUUGCGGCUCAACCGUAAAAUUGCAGUUGAAACUGGCAGUCUUGAGUACAGGAGAGGUGGGCGGAAGUCGUGGUGUAGCGGUGAAAUGCUUAGAUAGCACGAAGAACUCCGAUUGCGAAGGCAGCUCACUGGACUGCAACUGACACUGAGGCUCGAAAGUGUGGGUAUCAAACAGGAUUAGAUACCCCAGUAGUC